rnacentral:rRNA from 1 species
UACACUCCUGCGGGAGGCAGCAGUGGGGAAUAUUGGACAAUGGGCGCAAGCCUGAUCCAGCCAUGCCGCGUGAGUGAUGAAGGCCCUAGGGUUGUAAAGCUCUUUCACCGGUGAAGAUAAUGACGGUAACCGGAGAAGAAGCCCCGGCUAACUUCGUGCCAGCAGCCGCGGUAAUACGAAGGGGGCUAGCGUUGUUCGGAUUUACUGGGCGUAAAGCGCACGUAGGCGGACUAUUAAGUCAGGGGUGAAAUCCCGGGGCUCAACCCCGGAACUGCCUUUGAUACUGGUAGUCUUGAGUUCGAGAGAGGUGAGUGGAAUUCCGAGUGUAGAGGUGAAAUUCGUAGAUAUUCGGAGGAACACCAGUGGCGAAGGCGGCUCACUGGCUCGAUACUGACGCUGAGGUGCGAAAGCGUGGGGAGCAAACAAGAUUAGAAACCCGGGUAGUCC